rnacentral:tRNA from 5 species
GCCCAGCUAGCUCAGUCUGUAGAGCAUGAGACUCUUAGUCUCAGGGUCAUGGGUUGGAGCCCCAUGUUGUGCA